rnacentral:lncRNA from 1 species
AUGAAGAGCAGAGCUAAGACGUAGGCCUGGAUCUAUUUGACUCCAGAGGGAGUGUUUGUAGAUCCUGCGUGUUUGCACGCGGGGAGAUGGAGGCCACGGGCUCCAGACCAUCCUUAUCCAGAGCCACGAAGAGAGCACAUUAGUGAGCUGCUAUCGCAGAGCACGCAGCAGAGGAGUUUGUGGGUAUCAGGUGUGCUAAGGAGCUCUUGUUUGUUUUUUAUUACUCAGCUGUAGCAGAGGUCAUUGCUACGCAUCCUCUCAGGCCCUCUCUCUACGUGCUGAAGGCGGUUUGCUGUGAAUACUUGGGUUCUCGGCUUGAAGGCUAUUUUCCUGGUUGUGUGAGGAUGUUUGAUCGCUGCCCGUUGGAAAGGUGGGAUGCCACCCCUGCAUGGCUUGAUGAGCAGUGUGUAGGUCUGCGCCGAGGAUUUGACCCCGCAAAACCCAGGCUGCCAAAGCGGAGUGCACAAACUUAACCACUACGCCACUGGGCUGGCCCCUGUUUCAAGAGGCCUGAAUGGACUCAAUUUCAAUGUCUUUGGCAAGUCGGUGUGAAACACUGACUUAAACAGCAUAUCUCCAAGCCCCAAGGAGGCCGGCUGUGCUUGGGUAACCCUGCCCAGAGGAAACCCGGACACGCUGCUGAGGAGGGCUUCUGGAGCCCAAAGGCUCAGCACAGAGCCUGGGAUUCUGCUAAAAGUCUCCUCUCCCUACAUUUCUGUGAAGAAUUUCCUUUUCCCACUAGUUUCAUAUGUAAUGUGGAAUUGCCUGUCAUUCAGAAAAACUUAAAAAAUAGAGCGUGGUGACAUCUGGCACAGAUCACACUUCUUUGUGAUUUGAUGAAAAAUUCAUGGUCUAUUAUAAUGUAAGACUUA